GCAGCUGCGCCGCUGCUGCUGUCCGCCUGAGCCGCGUGAGAAGCCUCGAGCGGGAACCCGCAGCAAUGCCACAGCGAAACUCCUGGCCCACAGAAAAGGCAAGAAGUAAAAGAAAAUAAAAAGGAGUGUAGAAAAUGUGCUAAGUGAAAAUACCUGUGUGAGGAGGGGCUUGGGGGGCCUCUGCAGCCAAGACACACCCACUCGCCUGCUCCAGGAACAGCACCCUCGUGGAAGGGAAGCUUAUUGAGAGGUCCUCUUGCAAACUCACACCUACAAACAUCUAGAAAGCAGUACAGACCCCCAGAAGGCCAUCUACUCACUCCAAAAGGCUUACCUGGGUCCAGGUGUGUGAAAGAGCCCACCACGAAGUCUAGCGUGGACACAGCCAGCAGGAGCAGCAGCAGCAGCUGGAGACGAAUUAUCCAUUUGACGCCUGCCAGGUUAAUCCCCAGCAAGGCCAGAAGCACUGCAGCUGAAAUUCCUCGCACAGCCCAGAUGCUCCUGAGGCUCAGCAAGUCAGAGAUGGACUCAGCAAAGCCAGUGAUGUACAUGGCACCUGCAACACACUGACAGGCAACGAGGUGGGAAGAGUUGGCAAGAGAACAGAGACUCAGGAACCCACGGGUCAGGCCUGCCCUGCACUGAGGGCUGCACUCACCCCCAUCAGGGCUCAGCACCUGGGAACCCACACGAGGGCUGGGGAGCCCCUCCUGGCCAUGACUCCGCCUUGGGCCCCGUCUCUUCUCAUCUACGCUCCUGCCAUCAUCCAGAGAGGAGCACAAAUGCCAGUCAGUAGUAACUAAGGUGAGAAGAUCAACCGGAGGAAGGAGUGGGGACUCUGGGCCAAAGAGCACUCUCAACUUCCCUGAGCUAUUCAGGAGCACUGGGGGUCCCUCUCAGAGUCUUAGAAAGGCACUGAAGCACAUCCCAGUUUUUUCUCCACUUCUUUGUAGGUCAAUAUUAUAUAUAUUUAAAAAACUUAACCUGAAACUUAGAAUAAGAAGAAAAGUGGGCAGCACAUCCUUUCAAUGUCAUAUGGAACAAAGGCUACCCAAGGACUGGCUAGAGGUGAAUGUGCUUAGUUCUACUCAUUGUUUACUAUUGAUUCAAUGUGUUAAAUGUCCCAGACUUUGUGAAGCUACUGUCAAUUUAUAGAUUUUUUUUUUCCAGCAGAGAUACAAAUAACUUCUGUCCAGUGGAACAGACAACCCAAAAGAUUCGGUUUGUUGUCCUGUAAGACAUUAACCAAUCUUGUAUCAGCAAUCUUAUCCUUAUAUUUAUUUAUGAAAUUGCUUCACCAGGAACUAUGUAAUCAACAUGCAGCUUCUCAACUGCUCUUAACAUCUUACUGGCUCCUCCAUUAAUUAACGAGUUAAAUAAAAUCUUUGGUCCAUGUAUAUUUUA